rnacentral:rRNA from 1 species
UACGGGGGGAGCAAGCGUUGUUCGGAUUUACUGGGCGUAAAGGGCGCGUAGGCGGCGCAACAAGUCCCUUGUGAAAUCUCCGGGCUUAACCCGGAGCGGCCAAGUGAUACUGUCGUGCUAGAGUGCGGAAGGGGCUACUGGAAUUCUCGGUGUAGCGGUGAAAUGCGUAGAUAUCGAGAGGAACACCUGCGGCGAAGGCGGGUAGCUGGGCCGACACUGACGCUGAGGCGCGAAAGCCAGGGGAGCGAACGGG